GAUGAACGCUGGCGGCGUGCCUAAUACAUGCAAGUCGAGCGAACAGAUAAGGAGCUUGCUCCUUUGACGUUAGCGGCGGACGGGUGAGUAACACGUGGGUAACCUACCUAUAAGACUGGGAUAACUUCGGGAAACCGGAGCUAAUACCAGAUAACAUUUGGAACCGCAUGGUUCUAAAGUGAAAGACGGUUUUGCUAUCACUUAUAGAUGGACCCGCGCCGUAUUAGCUAGUUGGUAAGGUAAAGGCUUACCAAGGCGACGAUCCGUAGCUGACCUGAGAGGGUGAUCGGCCACACUGGAACUGAGACACGGUCCAGACUCCUACGGGAGGCAGCAGUAGGGAAUCUUCCACAAUGGGCGCAAGCCUGACCGAGCAAUGCCGCGUGGGUGAUGAAGGGUUUCGGCUCGUAAAGCUCUUUUAUUGGGGAAGAACAGAAGUGUAUGUAUCCGCGGCCGUCUUGACGGUACCCAAAGAAUAAGCACCGGCUAACUUCGUG
rnacentral:rRNA from 1 species